rnacentral:rRNA from 1 species
UGCUAAGACUGGAUAGGAAAUAAAAAGGCAUCUUUUUUUUUUUUAUAAGAGCUCUCUUCGGAGGGUAUGCUUAAAGAGGGGCUUGCGUCACAUUAGUUAGUUGGUAGGGUAAUGGCCUACCAAGACGAUGAUGUGUAGCUGGACUGAGAGGUUGAACAGCCACAUUGGGACUGAGACACGGCCCAAACUCCUACGGGAGGCAGCAGUAGGGAAUUUUCGGCAAUGGAGGAAACUCUGACCGAGCAACGCCGCGUGAACGACGAAGUACUUCGGUAUGUAAAGUUCUUUUAUUGAAGAAGAAACAAUAGUGGAAAAACUAUCUUGACGUUAUUCAAUGAAUAAGCCCCGGCUAACUAUGUGCCAGCAGCCGCGGUAAUACAUAGGGGGCGAGCGUUAUCCGGAAUUAUUGGGCGUAAAGGGUGCGUAGGCGGUUUAAUAAGUCUCUAGUUUAAUUUCAACGCUUAACGUUGUCCUGCUAGAGAAACUGUUUGACUAGAGUGAGAUAGAGGUAAGCGGAAUUCCAUGUGUAGCGGUAAAAUGUGUAAAUAUGGAGGAACACCAGAGGCGUAGGCGGCUUACUGGGUCUUUACUGACGCUGAUGCACGAAAGCGUGGGGAGCAAACAGGAUUAGAUACCCUGGUAGUCCACGCCGUAAACUAUGAGUACCAAGUGUCGGGGUUAAACUCGGUACUGAAGUUAACACAUUAAGUACUCCGCCUGAGUAAUACGUACGCAAGUAUGAAACUUAAAGGAAUUGACGGGAUAUCGCACAAGCGGUGGAUCAUGUUGUUUAAUUCGAAGAUACACGAAAAACCUUACCAGGUCUUGACAUACUCUGCAAAACUAUAGAAAUAUAGUGGAGGUUAUCAGGGAUACAGGUGGUGCAUGGUUGUCGUCAGCUCGUGUCGUGAGAUGUUAGGUUAAGUUCUAAAACGAGCGCAACCCCUGUCGUUAAUUGCCAGCACGUUAUGGUGGGGACUUUAGCGAGACUGCCAAUGAAAAAUUGGAGGAAGGUGGGGAUUAGUCAAAUCAUCAUGCCCCUUAUGAUCUGGGCUAUAAACGUGAUACAGUGGCUAUUACAAAGAGUAGCUUAAACGCGAGUUUUUGGCAAAUCUCAAAAAAAUAGUCCUAGUUCGGAUUGAAGUCUGCAACUCGACUUCAUGAAGUUGGAAUCGCUAGUAAUCGCGAAUCAGCAUGUCGCGGUGAAUACGUUGACGGGUUUGUACACACCGCCCGUCAAA